GGAGCCAUUUACCUGUCCAGCCUGUACUCCACAAACGUUAGCUGUGUCUGUGGAUGGAAACCAGAAGCUUUACCGCUUCAGAAAGGAUGCACACUCUGAUGGAAAGGGUUACUUUGAAGGUGUGCUUCUCUGUCGAGAUGAUGAGGUAGCAGCGUUUGUGGAAGACAUACAAAAGAGGGCAAAGCAUGUACCAGGAAAAGGGGUCUGUGGCAAAUCUCUACUGAAAGCAGCCAAAGAGACCUCAAACCAGAGAAAUAGCUCCAACCUUGAUGAGCAGGUAAAUGUUUUAAAGUUUCUG